GUGUUCGAUCGACAGGAGGAGCAGGGAGAAAGGGGUGAAACCCUAACUCAACAAAACCGUCAAAUUGGAGGAUCAAACGAAGGCCAAAUUCGGAUUGGAAUAUACAUAAACGAUCACCAAGUCAAGGGGAUCGAAAGUUGACUCUAAACAAGCUAGGUGGGAGCUUGGAAAGGAACGGGUCAAACGGAUCAUGGAUGCAAAGAAUGUUUGCGCGGACGCGAGUUCAAGGACACUCGCAUAUGAAGGUAGCGAGAGUUUAACAAAUCGCGGACUUGAUAGAGCAACGGUCCAAAGAGUAUGCUCAUCAAGGACUUAAAUCGCGUAACGGUCGCGAACAAGGCUAAUGGCAAGAGAAGCCCGUUAGGGCAAGCAUUACCAGGAGGAGCAGGGAGAAAGGGGUGAAACCCUAACUCAACAAAACCUUCAAAUUGGAGGAUCAAACGAAGGCCAAAUUCGGAUUGGAAUAUACAUAAACGAUCACCAAGUCAAGGGGAUCGAAAGGUAUGUCGAAUUUUUGACAUUCAUGAAGUUGUGAAAAGUCGAUUAACUUUACAAGAUGCAAUUUAGGUAUGAAUUGUAGAAGUUAUGGCUAGAUU